UCUUUCUUUGCUGGCGACCGGCGCACGGGUGAGUAACACGUAUCCAACCUGCCCUUUACUCGGGGAUAGCCUUUCGAAAGAAAGAUUAAUACCCGAUAGCAUAAUGAUUCCGCAUGGUUUCAUUAUUAAAGGAUUCCGGUAAAGGAUGGGGAUGCGUCCCAUUAGGUUGUUGGUGAGGUAACGGCCCACCAAGCCUUCGAUGGAUAGGGGUUCUGAGAAGAAGGUCCCCCACAUUGGAACUGAGACACGGUCCAA
rnacentral:rRNA from 1 species